AUUCCUCUCAACAUGCUUUAACAGUGUCCUCAUCAAGCACCAGCUCUCCAGGCGCUCUGCUUGUAAUUCUCUAAUAACACUAUGAAGCAUUUAACCAUCCUUGUGGGAGUACAGGUAACAAUUGUCAUCACCCCCGUGCAUCUAAACAGGAAGUCUUUGUGAAAUGACCUUGAACACUGAUUCAGAAGGAGUGAAAGCAGAGGAGGAGAGAGGUGGAUGCCUUCCAGGACGUUCGUGAUGUCGUAGAUCCUUCGCUUCUGCACCUUCAGCACCUCGGCCGCCUUGUUCAAGUCCAAGACUCCAUCGGGCGACUGGCUCAGCAGCUGAAUGAACUUCUUGGUGCACAGGUCACAGUAUGAAGCAAGCAUUAUGUGUAAUUUACAGAGUG